CAUCUAGUCCCUGAGGAAAGUUAUUCUAAUUAAAAAAUAAUAUAUAUAAACUCUCUCUCUAGACGGUGUCGCCGUGAGUGUACUACGAACCACUAAACGAGUUUCUUUUGGCCAGAACAUCUCGUGCCACCAGAGGUUUCAGGCUCCUAAACACGUGUAAAGUUUUAAAAUCAAAACUUGCAGUUUUAUAAUCAACAAAA
rnacentral:lncRNA from 1 species